GCGAAUGCUGACAUAAGUAACGAUAAAGCGGGUGAAAAGCCCGCUCGCCGGAAGACCAAGGGUUCCUGUCCAACGUUAAUCGGGGCAGGGUGAGUCGACCCCUAAGGCGAGGCCGAAAGGCGUAGUCGAUGGGAAACGGGUUAAUAUUCCCGUACUUGGUGUUACUGCGAAGGGGGGACGGAGAAGGCUAUGUUGGCCGGGCGACGGUUGUCCCGGUUUAAGCGUGUAGGUGUGUGUUCCAGGUAAAUCCGGUUCACUUUAACACUGAGGCGUGACGACGAGGCACUACGGUGCUGAAGCAACAAAUGCCCUGCUUCCAGGAAAAGCCUCUAAGCAUCAGGUAACACGAAAUCGUACCCCAAACCGACACAGGUGGUCAGGUAGAGAAUACCAAGGCGCUUGAGAGAACUCGGGUGAAGGAACUAGGCAAAAUGGUGCCGUAACUUCGGGAGAAGGCACGCUGACACGUAGGUGAAGUGAUUUACUCAUGGAGCUGAAGUCAGUCGAAGAUACCAGCUGGCUGCAACUGUUUAUUAAAAACACAGCACUGUGCAAACACGAAAGUGGACGUAUACGGUGUGACGCCUGCCCGGUGCCGGAA
rnacentral:rRNA from 1 species